ACCACUUCCUAGAAAAGAAGGAAGGGGCUGACACUACAGGAACCCCUCCUCUCCCUGCGCCCCACUUUCCGGGGAAAAUUCGAAGACCGUGCUGAAGUGGGGCAGACAAACGGCCUACCUCCUAAAUGCCCAAAGCCUGCAUUAAAAAACAAAAAAACAAAAAAAAAACAAGAAACCAGGAAACAGGGAGGGUCUGAGCGAGGUUCAAAGACCCAGCCAUAAAGAUGGGGCUGGAAGAUGCUUUACCCGUGCCUGGUCACUGACUUAGGGGACCCACUCCCUCCAUCUGGGGAAAGAAGACUCAAGAGAUUGGAGACUUUGGGGGCUGAGCUGCUCAUUUAUCCUCCCAAAUCUUGAGGGGGAAAUGUCAGAAUUGGAGGGGGGGGGCAGGAGAACAAGACCCUUUCCCCCGUUUUGGAUCCCUGCCCCUCAACUCCGGUCCCCAGACCCGGCAGGAGGAGCGUGGCCCCAAGAGAAUCCUGAUUCUUUGAUUCCUCCCCGGGCGCUGAUGGAGGGGAUGGCAGGGGGUGGGUUUCGUCCUGUUUAUAAAAAGCUUGCCAGCUGCGGAGGCGCCUAAAGACCAGAAUAACUUAGCGCCUGGAGCCGCCCCCCCUCCCCCGUCCCCUGGAAGUUCGGGGCGUCCCUCGCGUUCCGCUGGCAUUUAUUUUUAUUAAGGGUAACAUUUUUGUCCCUCUCCUCCAAUCGCACUAUAAAAGUAUUACGAACCUACUGCGGAGAGUUGGGAAAUUCAGAAAAGCAUAAAAAAAUAAACAAAAAUAAAUUUACCCCCAAUCUCCCCCACCCCCAGACCGGCAGUCAGUGGGGCCCCAAGCGCGCUGGGACAGGAACCGGCCCACACCCCCGGCGGAGGUAAGGACGCGUGAGGCUUCUUGGCUCCCUGACCUCCCAAACGCUUGCUCUGGGCUUUGUACGUGGGUGGCGCUCAGAAAUAGCCCACAACACUGUGUACCAGCGUCUGCACAGAGGAAUUUGUGUUUUAUUUUAUUUUAUUUUAUUUUAUUUUAUUUUAUUUGUAUUUAUUUUUAUUUUUUCAUGUUUAUUUCUUUUUGAGAGAGGGAGGGACAGAGCGUGAGCAGGGGAGGGACAGAGAGAGGGAGACACAGAAUCCGAAACAGGCUCCAAGCUGUCAGCACAGAGAACGACGCGGGGCUCGAACUCACGGACCUGUGAGAUCAUGACCUGAGCCGAAGUCGGCCGCUUAACCGACUGAGCCACCCAGGCGCCCUGGGAGUUUGUAUUUUAAAGUAAAAAUAAUGCAAGGCAUUUAUUGUUGAGGAAAAGCAUUCCACUCCAGAAUUAGGGAUGGUUGAAUGGGGGAAAUGCUAGACAGCAGGGGAGACCAGAGCUGGUGACACAGAGGCCUUAAAUCCUCCCAAGUCCCACCCUACUCCGAGUAAAGUCUAGACUCCACCCGACAGCCCAGGCCCUCCAGCCAGCUGCCUCUCGCCAGCCACCUUCCCGUCUCAUCUUUCUCCUCCGGUCAGAUACUCCCUCUCGUUCCAGGUGCAAUCCUACCUCAGGGCCUUUGCAUCCGCUGUUCCCGCUGCCUGGAGCACAGUUCCCCCACCUCCUUCCAAGCCUGGCUCUCUCACCCCCUUCAGAUCUCGGAUGGACACCCACCUCCCAUUUCGGGUCACCUUCCUAUCACGUUGCCAUAUUUCUCCUUCUCCUGACACAUCCCCAUCAGAAAUAAUUAUUUGACUUGUUUAUCCAUCAGCCAUCUGAGAGUUCUGAGAGACAGGGAUUGGUGUCCCCGGCACCUAGACCUGUGGACACAGUAAGUGCCCUGUGAUGGUAGGACAUGUAUGAAUGAAUGAUUGGAGAGAGGCUGACUUUGGCCACGGAGGCUAGGGAACCUCUCUGAAGAAGUGCCAUUUGAGCAGGAACGUGAAGAACGAGCUGUUCCCUCCAGAAAGAGGGAACAGCAAAUGUUCACUAAACAAGCUCAAGGGACAGCCUCUUUCCAACUCUCCUUUCCAAGGAGAGGCCCAGGCAACGUCUCCUUAAGAGAAAGGGCAAACUGAGGCCCUGAGAGUCACCCUAGGAGGUCACAAGGGCCAAAAGUUCCAAGGAGCCCUGAAGCCCUUCUCCAACCUUCCUCUUCAGGUACAGAGUAGGCCACAGAGGCGGAAACUGUGUCCCUUGGUAAGGACCCUAAGCGGGAGAAAGUGGGGGACCUUGAACAUGUGAGCAACUUCGCUCACCCCCUCUGCAGGCCUCAGUUUCUACAUCUGAGAAAUGGGAGAAGGAAGAGACAGAGUUAAUGUGCACCUCAAGCAGGUAGCUCGGUGCGUGGCUCAGGACACACUCUUCUCAAGCUCAGAGAGGUUAAGAGACUCGAAGUUGUCAAUAUUCAUCUCUAGGGGAUACUGAGGAUGGUGUGGUGGGCCUGGCCCAGGCCUAGGGGGAUCAGGGUGUGGAGACGAUGGUGGACAUGAAUCCAAGAAUCCUCGAGAACUUCCACGAGUGCCAGCCUGGGAUGGAGGGCCAGGAAGGACCGUGCAGGGGAGGAGACGCUGAGCUGAGACCCAACCAGUGAGAAUGAGGGUGGGGGUGAAGCAAUCCAGGUGGUUUGGCACGGUAUGUGCAAAGGCCCUGAGGUGGGGCCAUAACUUGGGGUAUGGAAAGCCAGCAUGGGUGGAGUGCGGUCAGUAGGAGGGAGAGAGAUGCCUGUGACCCAAAUUGAAGGGGAACAUAUGUUCUUAUGAAUAGGUGGAGAGAAAAAAAAACAAAAACAAAAUAAAAAUGGGGAAAUAAGGUGAGAGGCUGAAGGCAGAUGAUCUACAGGAAGGUUAUAGCAGAAUUUUAUUCUCUUUUUUUUAUGUUUCCAUUAUUUCCAAAUUCUCUACAGUAAACGCAUAUUACUUGUAAGUAAAGGGGGGGAGGGAGAAAUAAUUAUAAAUACAAAUCCCCUAAAUCUCUGCCUUUUAUUUAUUUUUUUUAAUUUUUUCUAAUGUGUAUUCAUUUUUGAAAGACAGAGAACGAGCAGGAGAGGGGCAGAGAGAGAGAGAGAGAGGGAGACACAGAAUCCGAAGCAGGCUCCAGGCUGCGAGCUGUCAGCACAGAGCCCGAUGCGGGGCUCGAACUCACCAACCGUGAGAUCAUGACCUGAGCCGAAGUUGGACACUUAACCCACUGAGCCACCCAGGCGCCCCUAAAUCUCUGCCUUUCAAAAGUCUGGAAGGAAACGCACCAAGUUCGUGACCCAGAUGAAUUUUAAUUCUCCCUCUGUGGAAUUUGAUCAUUACUUGUGAUGAGGAUGAAUCAUGUCAGCGGGAUGGAAUCAUCAAGGGAAUUAUUUAGGAAUGAAGCCAGCUGUCCUUGAAGCCAGGGGCUGCUUGAUGACUUGUGUCAUGUAUGAUUCUUCAGGCAGGCGACGAGGGGCGGGGCGGGGAGAUACUGAGGCUUCUGGAGGCGGGAAUCGAACCUGAUCCUGGAGCACAGAGCAGGCCCCUUCAGCAUGAGCUCGACGUGGCGGGGAGCCGAGAAACGGCGGGUAAGGCGAGGAGAAUGCCCGAUUUCGCCCCGCCUCCCUUCCGUGCCUCCGUCCGCCAGGGGGCGCCGCUGGCUACUGUCCAGCUCCCAACUGCGCGGCCCAGCAGGCCAGACGGCCCUCUUUGCAACCCCGUUUCCCCAUCCCUGAGAUGGGCGCGGCAUUCAUUUUGGGUGAUAGGUUUAUUUAAACCCGGAGACACGUUCAGUGCCCCACGUUUCUAAGAUAUUUCGGAGAGGUCACGGACACCACCCUCCAACCAAAGUUUACCCAAGUACUAGGAUCAGGCCAUGGAGGGGAAACUGAGGCCCAGAAGGGGCUGUGCCUGGAAAGAAAGGGUCAGAGGCCCCCUUCCCCCUACAGGGAGUCUGGGGGAUCCUCAGAAACAGGAGGUGUAGAGAUUUGCCGUUGGGGGAGGGGGCGGAUUCUGUGCUUUGUUGCUGUUCUGUAAGAGGGAGAAAAGGCGGGCCGCAGGGGUCCCGGGGCUAGGGAGAACAGAACCCACAGACCCGAGGACAGAAACUACAGCCACUUAAAGCAACAACCAGCGAGUGCACAGGCGGUCAUAAGCUAAGUCAGUCUUCAGAGUUCCCGGCACAGAGCCCUCUUUCCGGCUCCGUAUUGGUCCCGACCGGAGCUCCUGAGCCAGAAUCGGGUCUGGGACAAAGCUUUGGUGCUGAAAAUUCUCCCGUUCGAGUUUCCAGUCUCUUGCGUGGAACUGCCUGGCAGAUGAAGGCGAGGCGCCUGAGGUGGGGGUGCAUCGCCUGGGGGCUGCCUCCCCACCCCCUCGUGCAGGGCUACCCUAGAAGCACGCAGCGGGCCCGGGCCCGGCACACAGCAGGUGCCCAAUAAACAUGUGAUAAAGGGUGAACGAACCAAGUGAUGGAUGUCCCUCAAGAGUGGCCGCUGGAGAAGGUGGACAAGGGGCCUGGCAAGACACCCUCUUUCCACACCGGGGGGUGGAAGUCCAGGAGGGAGAGAUCCCAAGGGUGCUGGGAGAGGCUGCCUCCAGCCCAGCCCCUUGGAGAGCUCUCUCAGCAAAUCCAGGUUCAGACUGGCCACCAGCCAGCUGCCUUCGCUUUGACCGUGAGGCCUGCCUAGAACUAAAAGCUUGGUCUUCUCCCUCAGUGGUAGGGGUGGUGGGGACGGGGGACAGAGGCAAGGCAGGGGCCACCUCGGACCUCUUCCUGGAAGGCCCACCCACCCAAUCAGGAGCCAUUAGGUCCCGAAGGGCUCAGCCAUCACACUGGCCUCAUGGUCCACGCAGGGCUUGCCCACAGGCCUCCGGUUGUCCAGGGGUAGGGCCCCAGGGUCUGGGCCGGCCUCAGGGACCAGCAGCUCAGUGUCAGGUGACUCCGACACCUCCGUGUCCAAUGUUGGUCCCUCCUCCUCCUCCUCCUCCUCUUCUGCCUCCUCCAGAGUCAGCUCAAACUGGAACCUGUCGGGGCCACCCUGCUCGGGGCGGGUGAGAUCCACAGGACUGCGGGGGAUCUUGCUCUGGUACCACUCGCGGUUGUCCUCCAGUGUAUCCAACAGGUCCUGUGCGUCUGGGUGCACGAGAUCAGCCCACGUCUCCCACAGUGGGUGUGCAAUGUAAUCAAUGAAACCCACCUGUGGGUUGAUACAGGGCAGGGAGGUGGGGAAGGUAGCUGUGGCGUGAGUCACCGUGGAACCUAGACCUGGUCCGGCCUCCAGGCCUCUGCCCUGCUUGUUCCCUCUGUCUGGAAUGCCAGCUCCCAACUCCUACUCAUCCUUCAAAACCCUCUUCAAACAGCCCCUCCUCUGGGAAACCGCUCCUGCCCCUUCUGGUCUCCCUCAACCCCUAAGUCUUUCUCCCUACCUCAUCCCUGUCACCUCCCCUCAGGGCCGGAUGUAUGUGGCCCCCAGACUGGGAGCCCCUCCAGGUUCCCCCCGCCUCCACGGCACCCAAACAGGUAUUUCCAAACUCCUCCCGUACGGAUCCCUCCCCCCCUGCAACGGAUCCCUCUCCCCGCAGUCCAGAGGGAAUGCCUCCCGGGACUGACUCCACAGAGCCCAGGGCAGACCUCACCCUUAGGCCACUUCCCCUCCCUGGCCAGCUGUGGUCAAGCCAGGACUCCCGGGGUCGGCUCACCCAGCGUUUCCCUCCCCUGUCCCCGGUGCCUGCUGGUGGCUCAGCCCAGGGGCCCUCACACCUGGGACUUCUCCACCGAGGCGGUGUGCUUGUCACACAUGGGGCUGAUAUCCAGGCCUGAUUCACGCUCCCGGUCGCCCUGCUGGAAGAACUCGGCCAUGAUGCGGUCGGUCCACCGGCGGUACAGCUCCAGCGGCUUGGUGGGGUUGCUGAGGUCAGCACAGUGUACCAGGUUCUGCAAGACCUGGGGAGACCAAGGCUCGGGAGGGCUCGGGCCGGGCCACUCUCAGGCCUGGUAGCCUCCGCAAGAGGCUGGCGCCACGAACACCCCCAUCUUACGGGUGGGGAAACUGAGGCCCGGGUGGGAAAGAAGGGCCAAGGCAUCGGCGUGUGGCUCUGGGUGCCUCCGUUUCUUCAAGCUGGCUGCACAGCUGGUGCUUCGUAAGCAAAGCUAGGUGAGAGCCGUGGAGACCGAGGCUCCAGGGCCCAUCUGGACACACACCUGGAUGCGGUCAGAAUAGUUGUCCAACAGCAGGACUCCAAGGCUUGUCACCUUCUUGGUCUCCACCAUGGUCUUGAGGUCGGCCAGGAGGUUCAUGUGUUUGGACAUGUCCGUGGCCAGCACCUGGGAGCAGACAAGAUGACGAGGAUGAGGACUGCGCCCGCCCCACCUUCCAGACCCCACGCCCACUCCGUUCCUUAGCCCUCUGAGCCUCAGGACCCUCAUCUGUGAAAUGGGGGGAUGUCACAAGAUUCACUGCAAACCCAGUUCACCAGAGGAGCUGAGUCAACGGUCCCUUCUCCAAGGUUGCUGGGUUCGUGAGGGUACAUCCCACCCAUGGGACAGGGCACAGGGAGAGAAAUUAAACCGGGGGCUGGCGUGCCCGAGGGCAGUGGUGAAGCCCAGCAGAGGGCAUAGCCUGUGCAAAGGCCCUGGUGCCGGGUGAGCUGAGGAACACAGAGGAGGCAGUUGCGAUGGCAGCUGAGGGGAGCAAUGAGUCUCAGGGAGGAGUGGGGGAUUUAUUCAGAGGGCCACGGGAGCCACAGGUGGAUCUGAAACCAGCAAGGACCUGCCUUUGGCGCUCCCCAACCCCCCUGUGGCCACCGUGCGGCCAGAAGGGCUGUUUUCAGACAUUUGGAGGGAAGUUCAGCUCAGAGCACAGCUGUUUCAACUUAACUGAAAAAAAUAAUAAUAAUCAGUUUCACUGGACCCGAGCACAGCCAGCCCAGGAGUGAUCCACACGCAGUGCGUGGGCUCCUCUGAGAAUCAAAGAAAAAUCUCAAAAGUUCUCCCCAAACCUCCCACCUGCCCGAAAUGAUGUUCCUACCGGGGGUACCUAUUGGCCAAGGCCCCAAGUCAAGACCACCUCACCAAACUUUUCAUUCUUGGUUUUCUCUGAGCUGUUCCCUCUGCUAGAAACACUCCUCCCUACCUCAUGGCCGCCACACCCUGCGAGUCCUGCCAAUUUCAGUGUUCCCUCCCGGGGAAGCCCUCCCCAACCUUGAGUACUCCCCUGCCUCCCCCCAUCACGGGUCUAUCUCUGGGUUCUCUCAUCGUGGCUCUGCCUGUGGGUCCCUCUCCCUCACAGGCCAUUGAGUCUCCUAAAGUCUCCUCCACAGGCCAUUGAGUCUCCUACUGGUCAUUGGCACAGGGCAAGCACACAAGAGGUGUCCAAUAAACGCUUGUUAAAUUAAUGAAAGAGGGGCGCUUGGCUGGUUCAGUCUGCAGAGCAUGCGACUCUUGAUCUCAGGAUCGUGAGUUCAAACCCCACGUUGGGCGUGGAGCCUACUUAAUUAAAAUAAUAAUAAUAAUAAUAAUAAUAAGUAAAAUAAUUAACGAAUGAGACACAAGACCCCAAAGCCUACUGUUGUCUUUUGAUCUGAAAAAUACCAAAUGGACAGACUUAUGGCUCAGAACAAAGUUGCACCUGGAACCCCAGAAACUCAGUUUAUGAAACUCUGCCAGGAUUUCGUUCCCCCAACCAAGGGUCUGGUGACCCUCACCCAGGGCUUGGAUGGUCGCUGCCCCAUUUUACAGAGGAGGAAGCUCAGGUUCAGAGCGGAGACAUGUCCAGGUCCAACCGAACCCCCAGCCAGGCCAAGAUCACCCCCAUCCCGUUCAUAGCCGUGUCCUCACCAUGUCGAUGACCAUCCUGCGCAGACUCAGCCGCUGCUUGGCACUGAGGUUCUGGAAGAUGUCACAGUUCUCUGCCUGCAGCAGCUUGAAGCCCACGGCCAGGUGGUGGUUCUCCAGCACGGAGGCAUCGUUGUACAUGAGCGCAAGCUCUGAGUCUGUGGGGGAGGCAGAGAGCCUCAAGACCUGUCCACCCACCACCUCCACCCAAAGGAGUUGGUAGGCAAACUCCUACUCGCGCACGAAGGCCCCAACUCUGAUGCCCUCCAUUCCGCGAAGCCUUCUAGAAUUCUGUCUUUCCCCCUAGCCCUGCCCUGACUGCAGGUCCGGGGGCAUCGGCGUUCAGAUCUCCCUCCUCGAGACCGGGGACCCCUUGAGGCGUCGGCGUGGCAGGAGGCAGUGCGCACUGAGUGCCUGUUGAAUGAACAACUGAGUCACCGUCUUACUGGAUUCUGGGGUGGUUAAGAAGGCUCCACUCUCAUCCCAGGCUCUCCAAGGAUGUAUACAAGAGGCACCCAGUAAUUAUCUGAGUUUUUCCGACGUCUCAAAGGACCCCGAACUUUCAAACCUUUGUGGCCCCGGAUCAGCUCUGCCACGUUUGUUAUUGUCUCACGUAUUGAGCACCUACUGUGUACCUGGAACUGCUCUGAGCACCAAAGGGAAGGACUGUCCCAGCCAUUUCACAAACGGGGAAACUAGGCUCAGAGCAGGAAUGGGUGGGUCUGGGGUCAGGUGAUUGACAGGUGGGGCCCCACCCCCGACUCACUGGUGUUAACGAGAAACUGGUUGGAGACCCCAGGGUGGUCCACGUCGUGGAUGGCGCUUGCGAAGAUAGCAGCCAGGACUUCCAGGUCUGUGAAAACGGCCUGGGCAGGCAGGAGGCGUGAGAAGUAGGGGGUGGGCUCCCUGCACCCUGCACCCACCCUGGCUGCCUCUAGACUUAGGGUAGUACCUCAAGGGCAGGUGUGGCCAGCAGCACGUGCGUGGACUGAGCCACGUCGGCGGCGUGUAGGCUGUUGUGGUAGGCCACAUCGGCAUGGUAGUGACUUUCCAACGUCAGAAGGUAGGUGACGAGUGUGUCUGCUGGGAUCUGAAAUGUCUUGAGCAGGUCUCGUUCCUGGUCCAUCACAGGCCUCCAGUCAAGGCCUUGGCCUCUGGGGCAGCAGCAUACACCGUUCCUAUGCCUUCUCUCCUUCUGAGCUCCUAUCCGUCCCUCAAAUGCCCCCUCUUCCAGGACGCCCUCCCUGCUCUCCCUCCGAACUCCCUUGGUCUCUGUCCUGCCCCUCUGGUCUAUCCCUGACCUCACAGGCCUGGGGCUCUCUUCGUCCAGGCCUUCCCUCCAACCCUGAGUCUCUUCAGGGCCAGGCUCCGGGCUGAGGCUUGUUGCCCAUGCACGUUUCCACCCAGUGAACUCCUACUCGUCCUUCAAUACGCAGCUCGCAUUAUGCCAUUCGGGGGGAUCAGGGAGGACUUGAAGAAUGAGUGUCCCCCGAGGCCUUGGGGUAGGAAGAUGUGAAGGAAAGAAGCCCCAGGAGCGUUGGAAGCCAAGGGCGGGGAGGUACCUGAAAGAUGUUGAACAUGAUGGUUGUAAGGGGCCGGUUCCCACUUAGCUCUGCCACCUUGAACACGUCGAGCCCCCAUUUGUUGGUAUCUUCCAGUUCCUAAAAUGCGAAGAACUGAAGCUUAACUCCAGCCCAGCUUGCUCCGACUCUGGACCCUUGACAUCCCCCACCGGGCCUCAGGUCCUAUGCUGAGCCCCACCUGCCCAAUCUACAGGUGGGCAAACUGAGGCCCAAGGUAGGGCAUCCACACAGAGCCAGGACUCAACGGCAAGUCUCGGUAUUCCAGUUGGGGACCCACCUUGGCCAGCUGCCCCUCCUGGUCAGUCUGGACCCCGAAGCGUGGGACGGUGGCUGCAGAGAGGCCGGCACUGUGGGGGAGCCCACGCAGGCCGCUGAUCUGAGACAUGGGCCUUGGGGUCUCCGUGGGGGUCACCCUGGGCAACUCCAUCUCAGUCUGCUGGUCUGUAGAUGGAGCAGGGCGGGGCUCAGGGAAACUGAUUCACCUGCUGGGGUCAUCCUGCCUCGCCUCAGGCCACGGACCUUGCCAAACCUCAGGAUCAACCCAUUUCUUUUUCAUCUGGAUCAAAGUGAGCUUGGAGUAAAGUCCCUAUCGGGCCCGUAGCUACCCUUCUCCGUUCAUGGCUGAUCUCAGUGACCUCUCCUGUUUGAUAUUGCCCGUCGGCAACCAGGGCUCAGCAUUUUCCCCCAAAAAGCCAAAUGGGCUUUCCAUCUCCCAAGGUGGAGACCCAGCUGUCUCGUUCACUCCCUGUCUCCCUUGGAAAACUUCUACUCGUGCUUCAAAACCCUAGCUUUAAUAUGCCCCUCCACCUAACAGUUCCUUCUGUUCCUCUCUCUGGAACAGCUCUGACCCAUGGGGUUGGAAGUGCCCAUGUCCAGCUCUGUCUCCCCAGGAGGCCUGUAAGAGAAGUCUUUCCUUUUUCUUGGUUCUUCCUACCUCCAUUGUGUUGCUCAAGCAGUGACCCACCACAGCUCACCCAGGAAGGUUCGGGAGAUGUACUCGGACACCUGGUUCCCAGAGCGGCUGGUUUCGGACAGGUGAGUUAAUUCCCGGUUCAGCAUCCGCUUGAACUGCAGGGGAAGGUGAGGACAGUGAUGAUGGGGGCACCGUGGCCAGAGGCAAACGAUCUGGGCUAUCUGGCCCUCCUCACCUUGUUGGAGGCCAUCUCCCCCACUGAGUGCCGCGUCUGCAGUGUCUCCAGCUGAUCCAGACACCAGUCCAGCUCGUCCAGUGUCUCCAGAGCCAGCUUCUGCCCAGUGUCCUCUGGGGGCCGAGCUGGUCAGG
rnacentral:lncRNA from 1 species